AUUAUAAUCCGGCGAGGGAAAGGCGGGAGGGUUGUAGCUGGCCUUUUUCGGGCAUGUGCACGCUCUCUUCUGGACUCUCGUCGUUAUGGGCGCGGGGCGACCCGCGUCUUNAUNUNCCNUUUNGNGNANAAAGGCCNNNAANGGUUUUUUUUNUACCAUCAUCGAGUCGCGACUUCUAGGAGACGCGAUUCUUUGAGACAAAAGUUAUUACAACUUUCAGCAACGGAUCUCUUGGCUCUCGCAUCGAUGAAGAACGCAGCGAAUCGCGAUAUGUAAUGUGAAUUGCAGAUCUACAGUGAAUCAUCGAAUCUUUGAACGCACCUUGCGCUCCUCGGUGCUCCGAGGAGCAUGCCUGUUUGAGUGUCAGUAAAUUCUCAACCCCUCUCGAUUUGCUUCGAGCGGGUGCUUGGAUUGGUGGGGGCUGCCGGAACCUGGAUUCUUGUUCAGGACUCGGGCUCCUCUGAAAUGAAUUGGCUUGCGGUCGACUUUCGACUUUGCGCGACAAGGCCUUUGGCGUGAUAAUGAUCGCCGUUCGCCGAACCACGAAAAACCGCCCGCGCCUUUAACGCGUCGAUGCCUUUGGCGUUUCUUAUUGACGUUUGACCUCAAAUCAGGAGGAACUACCCCUGAACUUAACUAUCAAC
rnacentral:misc_RNA from 1 species